CAUUGACUUGGACAUUUUUGACAAUUUGACCUCAAAUCAGGUAGACU
rnacentral:rRNA from 1 species